rnacentral:tRNA from 1 species
GGGGGUGUAGCUCAGCUGGGAGAGCGCCUGCUUUGCACGCAGGAGGCCAUCGGUUCGAGUCCGUUCACCUCCACCA